GGUAACACAACGUUUCUCACAAUGUCAAAUUUUCAUUGUUUUGUUGGGCUUCGUUAGUUUUUGUUACAUUCAUAUGUGAUUCAUUUAGCAUUUGAAACAUGAUCCGUGAUUACAAUAAUAACGAAACACGCCUAUGUCGCAGAUGGUCGUAGAAUGUGGUAAUCUCGUCGCAACCGUUAUGCCUUCUACGACAAAACACAUAACUAACAUGCCUUAGCGCCACCAAACGCACAUGCGGGAAAUCAACCAGACAAAAUAAAAGACAACAAAGAACCCGAAAACAAAGGAGACGAAAAAGCCGGGAACACAAAGAAAAUCAUACAUUUCUUCUUCGAUUCUUCUAGAAACCACAGCCAUAGCUGCUAGAAGUCAUAGUCUGUUUUUAUCUACUGUAUACCGAACAAAGCUAAAUAAACAUAAUACAAUUGUUAUUCGAUGUGCAAAGCUUCUUUCUAUAUAGUGGACUGUCAACAAUAAACUCACAGAUUAGUGACGAUAACGUUGGGACUGUUACGCUUCCUCCGGCAAGACACAUAACUAACACGUCUCGGCGCCACUAAACAUACACGUGGAAAACAACCAAAGUGAAAGACGACAAAGACGCCGGGAACAGAAAAGAAAUCAUUCAUUUUCUCUUUGAUUAUUCUUGAGACCAUAGAUUGUUGAGAGUAAUAGUCUAGUUAAAUUACUGUGUACCUGACAAAGUUAAAUAAAUAUAUUACAAUUA